AGUCACAAGGAUGUAGCAACAGCAGCAGCUCCCAGUUCAAAUUGCUGAUCUCUGAGCUGGAAUUGUGUGUUUAGGCAACACUGUCCCUGAACAGCCCUGAGCUCAUGGAAAAGGAGUGUAGUUGUGCAAAACCCCAGUGAGCUGUGGCAACACUGCAAGAAGCACAGGAGAACAGUCUGCUUACCUGUCGAGGUGAGACAUGACUGUCUUGGAAGCAUCAGCCCCAGCUUCCUGCAGAAUGCGGAGGAUCUGGAAAGGGGAGUCGCUGUUCCUGCCAGGAUGGAUGAUAACCGGGCACCCAAGCUGGCACUGAGCCUCUGCUGUUGCCUGAAGCACUCUGUGUUCACUGGGAGUCAAAGGCCAGGAGCAACCUAUUUCUCCCACCACAC